GGGGAAUCCAAGUGCUUAAUUAAAACAAAGAAUUGUGAUGGUCCCUACGGAUGCUAACACAAUGUCAUUUAUGCCCAUUGAUAUGCUCCAUUUCAAAGUGAAGAAAUUAAACCAAGAACAGGUAAACGGUGGGAGUAACUAUGUCGAAUUUAUUAAGGUAUCCAAAUGCCUCAUAAUUUAACUAAUCAUGCACAUGAAUGGAUUAAAAUGAUUCCCACUAUCCCUAUCUACUAUCAAGAGAAACCACAGCCAAGGCAAUGAGCUUGGAAUAAUCAGUGGGGAAAGAAGAACCCGUUGAGGUUGACUCUAGUCCAAAUUUUUUAAAUGACUUGAGAGGUGUAGAAUAAGUGGGACCCAUUUUCGAUGCAAGUGAAAUAACACUAAUUUUAACAUCAUUUUACUUAUUUUGUAGGGUGGAGAUGGGGCAUUGCCCUUGCUUUUUUGAUAAGACAUGUUUCAGGGGGUUGAUCUAGGUGGAAGACAUUUUCAGGUGGGGAUUUUUCUUGUUCCUUUAACAUUAUUUUACUUGUUCCUUGAAUGCUUAUGGAAUAAAUGAAUAUCUUACAAAUGGACGAGAAAUUUGGAAGUGGGUGAUUGGAUUCUAUACAAAGAUGAAAAAAUGAUUAGUCUUUAUGGAGUGGAAUUCAAUCCUUUCAUAUUACCUUUGUUUCUAACCCUAAUAGUAUUUCCCUUAGAAUAUGAUAGAAAAAUGUUCAAUGUAAAUGAAUUUCACUAUCAACCCAAGCAUGAAAAUAUUUACUUCUCAUUUCCAUUCAAAAUUUUAUUUUAUGUACAUAAUAAUUUGAAGGUAGAGGACCUUGUUAAAGGAUUCAAGGAUCUUAUGUUUUUUAGAAACAUGAAUCAUGGAGAUAUGAUCCUCAUAUCAUCU
rnacentral:ncRNA from 1 species